AUACGUAGGGAGCGAGCGUUGUCCGGAAUUACUGGGCGUAAAGGGCGCGUAGGCGGCGCUUCAAGUCGUCUGUCAAAUGGGAGGGCUUAACCCUUUUUCGCAGACGAAACUGGAGCGCUUGAGAAGCAGAGAGGCAAACAGAAUUCCUGGUGUAGCGGUGAUAUGCGUAGAUAUCAGGAAGAAUACCAGUGGCGAAGGCGGUUUGCUGGCUGCAUACUGACGCUGAAGCGCGAAAGCCAGGGGAGCAAACGGGAUUAGAUACCCCGGUAGUCCGGGCAGUAAACGAUGUAUGCUGGGUGUGAGACUAGCGAUAGUUUCGUGCCGAAGUUAACGCGAUAAGCAUACCGCCUGGGGAGUACGGUCGCAAGAUUGAAACUCAAAGGAAUUGACGGGG
rnacentral:rRNA from 1 species